ensembl:rRNA 5S_rRNA 5S ribosomal RNA
GCUUACGGCCGAUACCUCUCUGGCUCCAGCCUGGAUCUCGUCUGAUCUCAGAAGCUUAAGCAGAGUAGGGCCCUCGGUUAGUACUUGGAUGGAAGACCGGCCUGGGAAUCCCAGGUGCCGUAAGCU